rnacentral:rRNA from 1 species
AAUAGAUACCCCGGUAGUCCACGCCGUAAACGUUGGGCGCUAGGUGUGGGGUUCUUCCACGGAUUCCGCGCCGUAGCUAACGCAUUAAGCGCCCCGCCUGGGGAGUACGGCCGCAAGGCUAAAACUCAAAGGAAUUGACGGGGGGCCCGCACAAGCGGCGGAGCAUGUUGCUUAAUUCGACGCAACGCGAAGAACCUUACCAAGGCUUGACAUCGCCGGAAAACUCGCAGAGAUGCGGGGUCCUUUUUGGGCCGGUGACAGGUGGUGCAUGGCUGUCGUCAGCUCGUGUCGUGAGAUGUUGGGUUAAGUCCCGCAACGAGCGCAACCCUCGUUCCAUGUUGCCAGCACGUAAUGGUGGGGACUCAUGGGAGACCGCCGGGGUCAACUCGGAGGAAGGUGGGGAUGACGUCAAGUCAUCAUGCCCCUUAUGUCUUGGGUCUGCAAACAUGCUACAAUGGCCGGUACAGAGGGCUGCGAUACCGCGAGGUGGAGCGAAUCCCUUAAAGCCGGUCUCAGUUCGGAUUGGGGUCUGCACUCGACCCA